rnacentral:rRNA from 1 species
GCGGAGGAAAAGAAACCAACAGGGAUUGCCCCAGUAGCGGCGAGUGAAGCGGCAAGAGCUCAGAUUUGAAAUCGUGUUUCGGCACGAGUUGUAGAGUGUAGGCGGGAGUCUCUGUGGAGCGCGGUGUCCAAGUCCCUUGGAACAGGGUGCCUGAGAGGGUGAGAGCCCCGUAGGGUGCUGCGCGAAGCUUUUGAGGCCCUGCUGACGAGUCGAGUUGUUUGGGAAUGCAGCUCCAAGCGGGUGGUAAAUUCCAUCUAAGGCUAAAUAUUGGCGAGAGACCGAUAGCGAACAAGUACUGUGAAGGAAAGAUGAAAAGCACUUUGAAAAGAGAGUGAAACAGCACGUGAAAUUGUUGAAAGGGAAGGGUAUUGGGCUCGACAUGGGGGGUGCGCACCGCUGUCUCUUGUAGGCGGCGCUCUGGGCGCCCUCUGGGCCAGCAUCGGUUCCUGCUGCGGGAGAAGGGGCUCCGGAAAGUGGCUCUUCGGAGUGUUAUAGCCGGGGCCAGAUGCCGCGUGUGGGGACCGAGGACUGCGGCUCUUCUCGGAUGC